AGUAGAACGCUGAGAACUGGUGCUUGCACCGGUUCAAGGAGUUGCGAACGGGUGAGUAACGCGUAGGUAACCUACCUCAUAGCGGGGGAUAACUAUUGGAAACGAUAGCUAAUACCGCAUAAGAGAGACUAACGCAUGUUAGUAAUUUAAAAGGGGCAAUUGCUCCACUAUGAGAUGGACCUGCGUUGUAUUAGCUAGUUGGUGAGGUAAAGGCUCACCAAGGCGACGAUACAUAGCCGACCUGAGAGGGUGAUCGGCCACACUGGGACUGAGACACGGCCCAGACUCCUACGGGAGGCAGCAGUAGGGAAUCUUCGGCAAUGGGGGCUAACCCUGACCGAGCAACGCCGCGUGAGUGAAGAAGGUUUUCGGAUCGUAAAGCUCUGUUGUUAGAGAAGAAUGAUGGUGGGAGUGGAAAAUCCACCAAGUGACGGUAACUAACCAGAAAGGGACGGCUAACUACGUGCCAGCAGCCGCGGUAAUACGUAGGUCCCGAGCGUUGUCCGGAUUUAUUGGGCGUAAAGCGAGCGCAGGCGGUUUUUUAAGUCUGAAGUUAAAGGCAUUGGCUCAACCAAUGUACGCUUUGGAAACUGGAAAACUUGAGUGCAGAAGAGGAAAGUGGAAUUCCAUGUGUAGCGGUGAAAUGCGCAGAGAUAUGGAGGAACACCAGUGGCGAAGGCGACUUUCUGGUCUGUAACU
rnacentral:rRNA from 1 species